CCAAAGGCAAAAGUCUGUUCUUUUACCUGUCAUGUAAAGGAAUGAGAUAUGGAAUGAAGAGUCCCUCUUUCUAUAACUGCCAUGAGUCCAUGUCCUGUAUUGGCAGAGCUCGGUGUGUACAUCAGAUGUCGCUGGAAGGAACAAAGAAAAGGAAAAUGAAGGGAAGCUCCACACUGCAGAGAAGUUUAUUUAACAGAUUGCUGCAUAAAACCGAUGCCAGCUGACACACGUGAAGGUGGCUUGGCAAAUACUGAUCAAAAAUUCAGUGUUGGGCCUUGAUAUUCAAGUCACAAUUAAAAAACUCUCUGUGAAUAUGGAGAGAGACUGUCCUUGAGGAAGAAGAGGUGCAUGAAUAGAGUUGGUGCAUGCUU
rnacentral:lncRNA from 1 species